rnacentral:rRNA from 1 species
AGGGCAGACGGUGGAUGCCUUGGCUCUCGGAGGCGACGAAGGACGUGAUAAGCUGCGAAAAGCCCGGGGGAGGCGCAAAUAGCCCUUGAUCCCGGGAUAUCCGAAUGGGGCAACCCGGCAGGCUGAAGGCCUGCCAUCCCGAAAGGGAGGCGAACGUGGGGAACUGAAACAUCUAAGUACCCAUAGGAGGAGAAAAUAAACAAUGAUUCCGUAAGUAGUGGCGAGCGAACACGGAAGAGCCCAAACCCAUGUCGUCUAGGCGACACGGGGGUUGUAGGACCACGACGUGGCAAGAUAGAGUCAAGUGGAACGCCUUGGAAAAGGCGGUCAUAGAGGGUGAAAACCCCGUACACGACUGACGAUUGAAGCCUAGUGGCAUCCUGAGUAGCGCGGGGCACGAGAAAUCUUGCGUGAAUUAGCGGGGCCCAUCCCGUAAGGCUAAAUACUCCCGAGAGACCGAUAGCGAACCAGUACCGUGAGGGAAAGGUGAAAAGAACCCCGAGCAGGGGAGUGAAAUAGACCCUGAACCCGUCUGCCUACAAGCGGUCGGAGCGUCGUAAUGACGUGACGGCGUGCCUUUUGCAUAAUGAACCUACGAGUUACCUUCCCCGGCAAGGUUAAGUUCUUGAGGAACGGAGCCGAAGCGAAAGCGAGUCUGAACAGGGCGCCAAGUCGGGGGGGGUAGACGCGAAACCGAGUGAUCUACCCUUGGCCAGGUUGAAGGUUGGGUAACACCAACUGGAGGACCGGAUGGGUAAGCGUUGAAAAGCUUUCCAAUGAGCUGAGGGUAGGGGUGAAAGGCUAAUCAAACUCGGAGAUAGCUCGUACUCCCCGAAAUGCAUUUAGGUGCAGCCUCUUUAUAGUAUAUCGUGAGGUAGAGCGACUGAUUGGAUGCGAGGGCUUCACCGCCUAUCAAGUCCAGAUAAACUCCGAAUGCGCGAUAUAUAUUUACAGGGAGUGAGGGCGCGGGUGCUAAGGUCCGUGUCCGAGAGGAGAAGAAUCCAGACCACCGGCUAAGGCCCCCAAAUGAUCGUUAAGUUGAACUAACGAGGUCGGAUCGCAGAGACAGCUAGGAUGUUGGCUUGGAAGCAGCCAUUCAUUUAAAGAGUGCGUAACAGCUCACUAGUCGAGCGAUCUGGCGUGGAUAAUAAUCGGGCAUAAACGAUCUGCCGAAGCCGUGGAUGUCGCAAGACAUGGUAGGGGAGCAUUCCAUGCCGCGUCGAAGAUGAGGGAUGACCCUUGUUGGAGCGCAUGGAAAAGCAAAUGUAGGUAUGAGUAACGAUAAGGGGGGCGAGAAACCCCCCCGCCGAAAGACCAAGGUUUCCUGAUCAACGCUAAUCGGAUCAGGGUGAGUCGGGACCUAAGGCAAAGCCGAACGGCGCCGCCGAUGGAAGAAUGGGUUAAUAUUCCCAUACUGCCUCAUGGAGUGACGUGGAGACGGAGAAGUGACAGUCCUGCCGGCUGACGGAAUAGCCGGUUGAAGGGUGUAGAUAUUGAUUCCCGUAGGCAAAUCCGCGGGGAGAGUCGAACCUGAGAGUAUACGGAGCGCUUGCGCAACGUAAUAUGGACGUAACCAUGCUCCCGAGAAAAUCCGCUAAACUUAUCCAUGCGGCACCCGUACCGUAAACGGACACACGUGGUCGGGUUGAGAAUACUGAGGCGCUCGAGUGAUUCACGGUUAAGGAACUAGGCAAAUUGACCCUGUAACUUCGGGAUAAAGGGUCCUCGUCGUAAGGCGAGGCGCAGAGAAUAGGUCCAGGCAACUGUUUAACAAAAACACAUGGCUGUGCUAAAUGGAAACAUGAUGUAUACAGCCUGACACCUGCCCGGUGCCGGAAGGUUAAGAGGAGAUGUCAUCCGCGAGGAGAAGCGUUGAAUUGAAGCCCCGGUAAACGGCGGCCGUAACUAUAACGGUCCUAAGGUAGCGAAAUUCCUUGUCGGGUAAGUUCCGACCUGCACGAAUGGUGUAAUGAUCUGGACGCUGUCUCAACCGUGAGCUCAGUGAAAUUGUAGUAUCGGUGAAGAUGCCGAUUACCCGCGAUGGGACGAAAAGACCCCGUGAACCUUUACUAUAGCUUUACAUUGAGUUUGGGCAGACGAUGUGUAGGAUAGGCCGGAGGCAUUGAAGCAGGUACGCCAGUAUUUGUGGAGCCGACGUUGAAAUACGGCCCUUCGGUUGUUUGAGUUCUAACUCCUAGUUAGGAGGACACUGUAUGGUGGGUAGUUUGACUGGGGUGGUCGCCUCCAAAAGCGUAACGGAGGCUUCU